CCCUGUUAGGUUCAAACACCGGUUCUUGUCCGAUCACCGAACUUAAGCAACGUAGUGCCUGGUCUCUACCUAGAUAGGUGACCGCUUGGAUAUAGUAGGUGUUGUAAG